rnacentral:tRNA from 1 species
AGAGACUUAGGUUAAGAUCAGACCAAGGGCCUUCAAAGCCCUAAGCGAGAGUGAAAAUCUCCCAGUCCCUG